GACGAACGCUGGCGGCGUGCUUAACACAUGCAAGUCGAGCGGUAAGGCCCUUUCGGGGGUACACGAGCGGCGAACGGGUGAGUAACACGUGGGUGACCUGCCCUUAGCUCUGGGAUAAGCCUGGGAAACUGGGUCUAAUACCGGAUAUGACUCCAUGACGCAUGUUGUGGGGUGGAAAGCCUUGUGCGGCUAGGGAUGGGCCCGCGGCCUAUCAGCUUGUUGGUGGGGUGANGGCCUACCAAGGCGACGACGGGUAGCCGGCCUGAGAGGGCGACCGGCCACACUGGGACUGAGACACGGCCCAGACUCCUACGGGAGGCAGCAGUGGGGAAUCUUGCGCAAUGGGCGAAAGCCUGACGCAGCGACGCCGCGUGAGGGAUGACGGCCU
rnacentral:rRNA from 1 species